AUUGCUUCUCGGCCUGUUGGCUAAGAUCAAGUGUAGUAUCGCAAUUAUUUUUCAUUAAAAACGUAAAUAACAAUAAACACAAUCCUAAAUAGAGCUAUACCCUUUUAAGCCAAUUGAAGACAAUGUGCUUAGAAGGGGAUAGCUCUACUUAGGACUGUACUGCAUACGUACUAAAGACAUAGUGACAUAGU